rnacentral:lncRNA from 1 species
CAAGGGGAGGAGGUCAGGGCGGUGCUGAGGCCAGCUGGGGAGUGGCCAAGUCAGGAGGUGGUGGCUCUUCAGAAACCCCCACUGAGGCAUCCCUCCCUUCCCCAGCUGUCCAAAACCAGACCGAUGCCAUGUGUCCUCACACUGCCUCCCUCCAGGAGCCCGAGCCCCAGAGGGCGGGGCUGGCCUCGUCCAGGACUGGCCAGCCCGUCUGUGUCAGUGCCCUGAACUCCUAGCCCAGGUCUGGGUCCUUCAGAUGCGUCCGUUCCCCAGCCCCAUGAUGCCAUGAGUGACUUUGGGGAAAUAGGAGACAGAUUUUUUUUUUUAAGCUGCCCAGAACUUCUGGUUGGAAAGCAUUGUAUCUUCAAAACAUUCAUUACAAAGCUUGAGGACAGUGGAGGAGUCCCACAGGGGGGCAGAGGAUGGGGGGCCUCCAGAGACUAGGCUUUGGAAUUUGAUCUGAGAUGACCAGUCAUCCUGGUUUGCCUGUGCUCAAGGAGGUUGUCACCACUCAUGGGGUUUGAGAGCUAAAAGUGGGCCAAGUCUUGACUCUGCCACUCACUGGGUGCCCAUGGCUAAGACACUUCCCCUCUGCAGGCCUCAGAGUGAGUGGCGGGGGGGGGGGGGGCACAGCGACAACGGGCAUCCAACGUCCUUCACAUGAAGUUCCCAGAAGCCUGUGGGGGGAAAGUUGGAAUGUGUGACCUCCCAGCACGUGUAAGGGUUGUUUUCUCACUGUUAGUGUUGGCUGAUCUGGUGAGGGAAUCUCCUCCUCCUUCCCCCCACCUCCCACCGCCUAUUAUUCACUCAUUUUUUAGCAAAGGAGAGACAGGCCUCAGACUGGGAGGUCCCGGGCAGGAGAUAGGAGCUGGGUAAAUUUAAUAACACGACUUGUUUGGGUGAUUUCAGAGUUUCCAUCGAGAGUUUAGAAUUACUCUUUAUGGCACUUGGCUUUCUAUACAUGGUAGCGACAUAAUAUUCACACAUUGUUUUUAGUAUGAAAAUGUGCAGAAAUGCACACAAGGGCAUAGAGAAUGAUAGUACAACAUUCAUCUAAUGUUCA